rnacentral:rRNA from 1 species
UACAGAGGUCUCGAGCGUUGUUCGGAUUCAUUGGGCGUAAAGCGCGUGUAGGCGGUCCGGUAAGUCCGCUGUGAAAACUCUGGGCUCAACCCAGAGCCGCCACCUGAUACUGCUGUGACUAGAGUGCGGUAGGGGAGCGGGGAAUUCCUGGUGUAGCGGUGAAAUGCGCAGAUAUCAGGAGGAACACCAGUGGCGAAGGCGCCGCUCUGGGCCGUGACUGACGCUGAGGAGCGAAAGCGUGGGUAGCAAACAGG